GGCCUGUCCACUUCGGUGGUAGCUUUUUGUGAGGGUCAGUUUGGCCGAUAAACACGUCUGUGCCUGCAAGACAGUUAUGAUGUUGAGAGGAUAAGGAGGUGUCGGCAGGGAGAGGCAUGGCCUCACUCACUGCUUCACGAGUGAAAGACCGUGUCUGGAUUAAGGAGGGGAGGUAAUUCCUGAGUGGCUCAGAGUCUGUUAAGGGUGGAGGCUCUAAGACAAAAGUUCGGCCAUACAUGAUCUCAAAGGGACUAUAAAAAAAGGCUGCCUUUGGUGUUGCCAGAGUCUCAUGAGGGCGAAAGGGAGACUUCUCGUACACGACUGGCAGAUUUCUAGAGUGAGCUUGGUGAGUUGGGCUUUAAGGACAGAGUUGACCUUUUCAACUUAGCCUGAAGAUUGAGGCCGGUAGGGUGUGUGGAGAACCCAUUUUAUUCCCAAGGAUGUAGAGGCGCCUUGGGUGAUUUGGCUGAUAAAGGCAGGCCCGUUAUCGGACCGGAUGGAUGUUGGGAGUCUGAAACAGGGAAUUAUAUGCAUGUUGAGAGUUUGUGUGAUGAUAUUUGCACCUUCUGAAGUUGUUGGGAAUGCUUCUACCCACCUGGAGAAAGUACAGACAAAGACUAGAAGAUAGUGGAGCCAUUUAUGGGGCAGCAUGUGAAUAAGUCUACCUACCAAUCCUGCCCGGGUACCUUGCCCUGGGCUUGGUGGGUAGGAAAAGGCAGUGGCCAGAGGGAACCCUGGGGUGACAUUGAGUGGCAGAUAGAGCAGGACUGGGUGACCUCUCGAACACGGCUGGAAAGAUGAGGACAAAUGAGGAUAGGGCAGAGACGUUGCAGGACAGGUUUGUACCCGACAUGGAAAGAGUUGUGGAGGCUUUGGAGGACAGGGAUUGUUUGAGAGUGAGGACAGCGAAGCGCACUUCCUUGACAUACCGUGGUCCUUGUUUUUGAAGGUUUUGGGCUUGGCAGUCCUCCUUUUCUUCUGGGGAGUAAAGAGGAGAGAACGAGGACAGGGAAAGAAACUGGCCUUGCACGGGUUGUAGGGCCAUUUGUUUGGCUACUCUAUCUGCUAAAGCAUUUCUGGCCAAUAUAGGAUUGUCUGGGGUUUGGUGGCCCCUGCAGUGAAUGAUGGCAAGUUUCUGCGGGAGCCUGGCAACCUGAAGGAGCUUGCUGAUGAGAGCAUUCAUGACAGGGGUGUUGUUUGCAGUUAGGAAACCCCCUUCUUUCCAGAUGGACAAGUGUGAGUGCACUACGUGGAACACAUAAUGAGAAUCUGAAUACAUGUCCAGCUGCUCGAGUGAGAGCUCAAGUGAGGACGAUGAGUUCAGCCUUUUGGGAGGUGGUUCCUAGGGGGACCAGAUUAGCUUCAAUAGUGUGGGUGGGUGACACUAUAGCAUAGCCAGCAUGUUGGCAUCCUUGAUGUAGGAAGGAGCUGCCAUCUACAAACCAAGUAAAGGAGGCAUCUGGAAGGGGUUGGUCUGUUAGGUGUGGAAAAGGUAAGAAAAGUUUGAACAGUGUCCACACAGAAGUGUGCAGGGUCUUGGGAGGUAGUGGCUUCAGGUAAGAGUGUGGCCGGGUUUAGACAGGAGCUGGUUAGCACGGUGAUUUGGGGGGUUUCUAUGAAUAAAGCAUACAGUUGGAGGAGCCGUGGGGCAGAGAUGAGACUUAGUACGCUGCGGUGAGCUAGCAUGUCUUUGAUGCUAUGGGCUGACUAAACUGUUAGGUUGGCAUCAAGAGAUAGUUUUAGGCUUUCAAGGGUGAGGACAGCAGCUGCCACCAGUGCUUGGAAGCAAGCAGCCCAUCCGAGAACUGUGGUUUCGAGCUGUUUAGAGAGGUAGGCAACAACCUGGAGGGCGGGUCCCUUAGACUGGGUUAGAACACGUAGUGCGACUCCAUGCCGUUCGUCAGGAUAGAGGGAGAAAGGUUUGGUGAGGUCUGGGAGGGUGAGGAUGGGGACUGGGGUGACAGACUUCUGGAGUAGGCAGAAAGGUUGGGUAAUAGGCUGUGCAGGGUUUAAAGGCUCAUGGAGAGGGCCUUUAGCAGCUUGGUAUAACAGUUUGGCUAGUAGAGCGAAGGAGGGAACCCAGAGCCUGAAAUAUCCCGCUAGUCCUAGAAAAGAGAGAAUUUCUUGCUUAGUUUGCGGAGGCGGGAGGGACUGGAAGAGGGAUAUGUGGUCUGUUAUGAGCCCUUGGGUUCAUGGGGUAAGAGCUAGGCCUAGAUAGAUGACUGAGGGGGUGCAUGUUUGCGCUUUUUUAGGGGAUACCUGAUACCCCCACUCUGCCAGAAGUUUAAAAGAGAGAUAGUAUGGGCAUUGCAGUCUUUUUGAGAGGGGCUACCCAGGAGCAGAUCAUCAAGGAGAGUGGACGGUUUUAGGGAUAAGGUACAGAGGUCAUGAUCAAGGGCCUGUCCAAAAAGGUGGGUGCUGUCUCUAAAACCUUGAGGUAGUAGGCACCAGUGAGCUGAUGUGAAAGGCGGGUGCUGUCUCUAAAACCUUGAGGUAGUAGGCACCAGUGAGCUGAUGUGAAAGGUGGGUGUUGGGGUCUUCCCACAUAACAACAAAGAGGUCUUGAGAAUCAGGGUGCAAAUGAACUGUGGAAAAAAGCAUCCUUUAGGUCUAGGACAGAAAAAUGGGUGGUAUUGGAGGGAAUUUUGGAAAGUAAAGUGUAUGGGUUAGGGACUACUGGACAUACUGGGAGUACAGUUUGGUUAAUGAGCCUGAAGUCCUGGACUAAGUGGUAAGUUCCAUCUGGCUUUUUAACAGGUAGAAUUGGUGUGUUUAAAAGGGAGUUUGUUGGGCGGAGGAGGUGACUGGCGAGGAGGCGAGAAAUGAUAAGCUAUAGGCCUACAAGAGCUGCUUAGGGGAUUGGAUACUGCUUCUGUGAUAGGAACUGGGUGGGGAUUUUAAGGGUAAUGCAGAAGGGGGUGUGGUGUUUUGCAACUGAGGGUGUGGAAGUAUCUCAAAACAGCGGGGUUAACCAUGGAUGGGGGAUAAGGAAAGGUUGCAUGUUUUAGGGUGGGAGGUUGCAGGAGUAGAAGAAAGUUAGAAGCCCUGGAGGGGUCUGGGUGGAUGCGUUGGGUACUAGGGGAACGUGGGAGUGGAGAGUGGUGUGGAGUUUUGAAAGCAUGGCUCUGCCUAGGAGUGGAGUUGGGCAUGAGGGCAGGACUAAGAGUGAGUGAAGGAAGGCCGGGCGCGGUGGCUCAAGCCUGUAAUCCCAG
rnacentral:lncRNA from 10 species